AGUUGUUCACGAGUCUUAGUUUUUUGUUCACUUGCUUAAGCAAAAUAGUUUUUGUCCAUGUGUUUUUUAAAAAGGAAAAAGUAAAUGUUGCAUUGGAUGUUAUUGUACUGACGUUCAUUAUUUGUUGACUUAUUUAGUACUAGAAAGAAAUACGACUAAAUUUAUAGUUCAGUCAAAUAAUAAAGUAUGGUUUAACUUCAAUAGAUAAUUUAAUCUCAUACAAAUGAGUGAAUCAAGUAACGUAUAUUUAUUGUUUAAAAUACAAUAUUUAAUGACUGAUUUGGAAAAACGAUACUUCAAUGAAUAACGAGAGAUGAUGGGUGAUGACUGCAAUGAGAUGCAACUAACAAAGAGAGAGAAGUUUUAGUGUCUUGCAACAGAGGAGAUCGAAUUUUCUUUAGAUUUUAGAACAUAAAAAUAAACUAUUUUAUUUCGGUUUCUUUUGUACUUCUUUUUGUCCAUAUAAAAGUUAAAUAAUUUUUUUUCAAAUAAAGAAAUGAACAGGUUGUGCAUGAAAUAGAUA
rnacentral:lncRNA from 1 species